UACGAAGGGUGCUAGCGUUGUUCGGAAUCACUGGGCGUAAAGCGCGCGUAGGCGGCUUAGCAAGUCAGGGGUGAAAUGCCGGGGCUUAACCUCGGAACUGCCUUUGAAACUGCUAAGCUGGAAGAUGAGAGGGGAUAGCGGAAUUUCUGGUGUAGAGGUGAAAUUCGUAGAUACCAGAAGGAACACCGGUGGCGAAGGCGGCUAUCUGGCUCAUUCUUGACGCUCUGGCGCGAAAGCGUGGGGAUCAAACAGG
rnacentral:rRNA from 1 species